rnacentral:rRNA from 1 species
AACGAACGCUGGCGGCAUGCCUAACACAUGCAAGUCGAACGAGACCUUCGAGUCUAGUGGCGCACGGGUGCGUAACGCGUGGGAACCUGCCCUUAGGUUCGGAAUAACUCCCCGAAAGGGGUGCUAAUACCGGAUAAUGUCUUCGGACCAAAGAUUUAUCGCCUUUGGAUGGGCCCGCGUUGGAUUAGCUAGUUGGUAGGGUAAAAGCCUACCAAGGCGACGAUCCAUAGCUGGUCUGAGAGGAUGAUCAGCCACACUGGGACUGAGACACGGCCCAGACUCCUACGGGAGGCAGCAGUGGGGAAUAUUGGACAAUGGGCGAAAGCCUGAUCCAGCAAUGCCGCGUGAGUGAUGAAGGCCUUAGGGUUGUAAAGCUCUUUUACCCGGGAUGAUAAUGACAGGACCGGGAGAAUAAGCUCCGGCUAACUCCGU